rnacentral:rRNA from 1 species
UACGAAGGGGACUAGCGUUGUUCGGAAUCACUGGGCGUAAAGCGCACGUAGGCGGAUAUGUCAGUCAGGGGUGAAAUCCCGGGGCUUAACCUCGGAACUGCCUUUGAUACAGCAUAUCUUGAGUCCGAUAGAGGUGGGUGGAAUUCCUAGUGUAGAGGUGAAAUUCGUAGAUAUUAGGAAGAACACCGGUGGCGAAGGCGGCCAGCUGGAUCGUACUGACGCUGAGGUGCGAAGCGUGGGAGGCAACAAGGAUGAUGAGUAACCCCGUGGUAAGUCCA